GACGAACGCUGGCGGCGUGCUUAACACAUGCAAGUCGAACGAAGUGGCGAACGGGUGAGUAACGCGUAAUCAACCUCCCCUUCAGAGGGGGACACUAGUUGGAACCGACUGCUAUUACCGCAUACUGAAUGACUGGUUUGCGUCGGAUUGGCUAGUGGGAGGGGUAACGGCCCACCAAGGCGAUGAUCAGUAGCCGGUCUGGGAGGGAGAACGGCCAAAAGGGGACUGGGAAAAGGCCCAAGCUUCUACGGGGGGGAGCAGGGGGGGAAUUUCGGAAAUGGAGGAAAGUCAGACGGAGCAACGCCGGGGGGGUGAUGGCGGGCUUCGGGGUGGAAAAGUAUGUUAAGCGGGACGCGGUACCGGAAGAAAAAGCAACGGCUAACUACGUGCCAGCAGCCGCGGUAAUAC
rnacentral:rRNA from 1 species